GAAGAACGAUGGAGGCGUGCUUAACACAUGCAAGUCGAACGGAAAGGCCCUGCUUUUGUGGGGUGCUCGAGUGGCGAACGGGUGAGUAACACGUGAGUAACCUGCCCUUGACUUUGGGAUAACUUCAGGAAACUGGGGCUAAUACCGGAUAGGAGCUCCUGCUGCAUGGUGGGGGUUGGAAAGUUUCGGCGGUUGGGGAUGGACUCGCGGCUUAUCAGCUUGUUGGUGGGGUAGUGGCUUACCAAGGCUUUGACGGGUAGCCGGCCUGAGAGGGUGACCGGGAAGAAUGGGAAGGAGAAAAGGCAGAGAGGGCGAAGGGAGGAAGCAGUGGGGAAGAGUGAAGAAGGGGCGGAAGCGGGAUGCAGAGAGGACGAGUGAGGGAGGAAGGGAGUAGGGGGGUAAAAAGAGUGGAACAGGGAAGAAGAGAGAGUGAAGGGAAAGGGUAAAGAGGCAAAGACGAGGGAGGAG
rnacentral:rRNA from 1 species